GGAGCUUGCUCCCGGAUGUUAGCGGCGGACGGGUGAGUAACACGUGGGUAACCUGCCUGUAAGACUGGGAUAACUCCGGGAAACCGGAGCUAAUACCGGAUAGUUCCUUGAACCGCAUGGUUCAAGGAUGAAAGACGGUUUCGGCUGUCACUUACAGAUGGACCCGCGGCGCAUUAGCUAGUUGGUGGGGUAAUGGCUCACCAAGGCGACGAUGCGUAGCCGACCUGAGAGGGUGAUCGGCCACACUGGGACUGAGACACGGCCCAGACUCCUACGGGAGGCAGCAGUAGGGAAUCUUCCGCAAUGGACGAAAGUCUGACGGAGCAACGCCGCGUGAGUGAUGAAGGUUUUCGGAUCGUAAAGCUCUGUUGUUAGGGAAGAACAAGUGCGAGAGUAACUGCUCGCACCUUGACGGUACCUAACCAGAAAGCCACGGCUAACUACGUGCCAGCAGCC
rnacentral:rRNA from 1 species